UACGUAGGGUGCAAGCGUUAAUCGGAAUUACUGGGCGUAAAGCGUGCGCAGGCGGUGAUGUAAGACAGAUGUGAAAUCCCCGGGCUCAACCUGGGAACUGCAUUUGUGACUGCAUCGCUGGAGUACGGCAGAGGGGGAUGGAAUUCCGCGUGUAGCAGUGAAAUGCGUAGAUAUGCGGAGGAACACCGAUGGCGAAGGCAAUCCCCUGGGCCUGUACUGACGCUCAUGCACGAAAGCUAGGGGAGCGAACAGG
rnacentral:rRNA from 1 species